CAGUCAGGGAGCUACAUGAAGAAGACACAGACAGAGCGAGUCAGAGUGCGGGAGAGAGUGUCGAGAGGGCGGCGAGCUCUUCCCCAUUUCCAUGGCGACUCUGGCGGCCAUGCGCACUCUCGGUUCAGGUUUCUGCUCCGUCGUUUCCGCGGUCCUGUGUAUAGAAACAAAAGAGGUCUAAUGGUUUUCCAGUGUCAUUAACCUUCACAAGAUAUUCUGGGAAGUUUUUUUGCUUCAGUUGUUGAUGCUUUGAGACCUAGGCAGAUUUCCAAGGUCCCAAGUUGUAAAGCAUGAUCCGGUGUAAGUGCUUCCGCUGGAUUUGUGUGUUUGUAUGAUUGGUAAUACCGAAUUUAAAGGUUGGUUCCUAGAUCUUUCUUUAUGAUGGAGCAUUUGUGUUGUUCUUGGUGAUAGAAGUGUUCCAGGUGUGAAGAGAAUAACAAGGGAUCGAUCAGAUGUGAAUGGGAUGAAGUGAUUCUGUGAGCAACUACCAGAUUUGCCCCAUGUUCAGGUGCAAAGGGGCCUCAGAUGCAACGGUCAGUGGCGGUCUACGGUGGUGGUGCAGGGCGGUUCGUUGCGGCGGCGGGACAGGCUCCGGCGUGUGGCCGUUGGCGAGCUGCUCGUGUGGAUGCCCCUUGGUCCUCUAGCGGCGACAUGAUGUGGUCUUUCCGGCGCCUCGCGUCGUUGGGCGAGUGUCCGGUUCCUACCAGAUGCAGAUCCAGGCCGGGAGCCGAGGUUGGGCGUUGCAGGGUGCGACGUUGGAGAGGUGACGGGUGUGAUGGGUGGUGCCGAUGCAGUCGGGCUGCCUGUUACCGGCAGGGGUGCAGACAUCGACUUGGUCCGCUCCUGCUUCACCUCUUCUCUGACCUGCUGGCUCCCUGAUUGAUCUGGUCGUUUUGGUCGCUGCGGCCUUGUUGCCGGUCGGUGCAUCUCUUGCAGCCAUGGAGGGUCUAUGGUGUGCCUUGUUACCUGGGCGGCGGCCCGGGUGGUAGGUGCUGCGGUGCUCGUGGGCUGAGCUUGUGGCUCAGGUGCGGGCGGUUAGCGACCAUGGCCGUGUGGGCGGCGUGGUGGCUGGCGUUUUGACGAUCUGUUGUGGUGAAGACGGAGUUUUGCUGCCGGGGUGAAAACCCUGUCUGGCUUGGCCAGGCCGAUGGAGGCGGCGCCAAUGGACGUCGUCAUCUUCCUGAAGUCUCCGUUGUGGUUACUCAUUUUCCUUCGUCAUGCUCCGGAUGAAAAUCUAGAUCUUUGGAUCAGCCGGUGGCGGCGUUUUGUUCUGUCCUUCUUGAAGGCACUGUCUUGGAGCUCUCAGUUCAUCGUCAUUCAACUUCACCUCUUCGCGGGUUCUCCCGGAAGAGCUCCGGUGGCUCUUUAGCGUCUACUUCAUGUCCUUCGGGGUGUUGUUGUUGUAGGCCUUUGGCACCUAUGUAUCCGGCCUAGGGUGAGUGUGUGUUCGUGUGUUGUGUUGUGGGUUGUAUUGAUCGGUUGUUGGUUGUUGCUUUAUAUAUAAAGCCGGACGAAAGCCUUUUUCGGUAA